UUGAAUGUGGAUACAAAGAAAGAGAGCAAAAGGGCAGUUUGGCCUAAACUGUUCACCACAUUAUCAAGCAAAGAGAAAGAAGAAGACUUCAUGGCUAUGAAAGGGUGUAAACUGCCUCAAAGGCCAAAGAAAAGGGCSAAGAUGAUUCAAAGAACCUUACUUGAUAUAUCCCCUGAGUGUUUCUUUGCUGGUGUUUGUUGUGGUGGCUUGAUUACUCUUCCGAUUCAGGGAAUGUGGACCAUGUUCCCGUAUGYUGUAGCUGCGUCAACARCAUUAUUCUUUUACCUGCGACGACGCUUCUCUAAUUAACCCUACUACUAUUUCAGCUCAAUUCAUGAGGUAUCGAGGAUAAGAUAGAU